GUUGUAUGGUCAAGUAAUGAAGUGCACAUGGUGGAUGCCUUGGCAGUCAGAGGCGAUGAAAGACGUGAUAGCCUGCGAUAAGCGUCGGUGAGGUGGCAAUAUCCUGUGACCCGGCGAUUUCUGAAUGGGGAAACCCAGCCAACAUAAGUUGGCUAUCCUAACCUUUGGUUAGGAGGCGAACCGGGAGAAGUGAAACAUCUCAGUACCCCGAGGAAAAGACAUCAAUAGAGAUUCCCCAAGUAGCGGCGAGCGAACGGGGAGUAGCCGAUCAAACUUGUAGUAGCAAAAUGGCGUGGGAAAGCCAACCAUAGUAGGUGAUAGUCCUGUAUGCGAAACUGCAAAUGCGACAUAUUAAGUAGGGCGAGACACGUGAAAUCUUGUCUGAAGAUGGGGGGACCAUCCUCCAAGGCUAAAUACUCCUGACUGACCGAUAGUGAACCAGUACCGUGAGGGAAAGGCGAAAAGAACCCCUGUUAGGGGAGUGAAAUAGAACCUGAAACCGUGUGCAUACAAGCAGUCGGAGCCCACUUGUUGGGUGACGGCGUACCUUUUGUAUAAUGGGUCAGCGACUUAUAUUCUGUAGCAAGGUUAACCGUUUAGGGGAGCCGUAGGGAAACCGAGUCUUAAUAGGGCGAAUUAAGUUGCAGGGUAUAGACCCGAAACCGAGUGAUCUAUCCAUGAGCAGGUUGAAAGUGCCGUAACAGGCACCGGAGGACCGAACCCACUGUCGUUGAAAAGCCAGGGGAUGACUUGUGGAUAGGGGUGAAAGGCUAAUCAAACUCGGUGAUAGCUGGUUCUCCCCGAAAGCUAUUUAGGUAGCGCCUCGGACGAACACCAUUGGGGGUAGAGCACUGUUUCGGCUAGGGGGUCAUCCCGACUUACCAAACCGAUGCAAACUCCGAAUACCGAUGAGUGAUAUCCGGGAGACAGACGGCGGGUGCUAACGUCCGUCGUCAAGAGGGAAACAACCCAGACCGCCAGCUAAGGCCCCAAAUUCCUAGUUAAGUGGGAAACGAUGUGGGAAGGCACAGACAGCUAGGAUGUUGGCUUAGAAGCAGCCAUCAUUUAAAGAAAGCGUAAUAGCUCACUAGUCGAGUCGGCCUGCGCGGAAGAUGUAACGGGGCUCAAACUAGGAGCCGAAGCUGCGGAUUUAAUUGUUUCAAUUAAGUGGUAGGGGAGCGUUGUGUAAGCCUGUGAAGGUGUAUCGUAAGGUAUGCUGGAGGUAUCACAAGAGCGAAUGCUGACGUGAGUAACGACAAAACGGGUGAAAAGCCCGUUCGCCGGAAGACCAAGGGUUCCAGUCCAACGUUAAUCGGGGCUGGGUGAGUCGACCCCUAAGGCGAGGCCGAAAGGCGUAGUCGAUGGGAAAUCGGUUAAUAUUCCGAUACUUGUUUAUGAUGCGAUGGAGGGACGGAGAAGGUUAUGUCAGCCUGGCGUUGGUUGUCCAGGUGGAAGGAUGUAGGUAGGUUUAGUAGGCAAAUCCGCUAGACUAUUACUGAGAUCUGAUAGCAAGCCAGUUUACUGGCGAAGUGGCAAAUACCCUGCUUCCAGGAAAAGCUUCUAAGCGAUAGUCAUAAACAAAUCGUACCCGAAACCGACACAGGUGGUCAGGUAGAGAAUACCAAGGCGCUUGAGAGAACUCUGCUGAAGGAACUAGGCAAAAUGGUACCGUAACUUCGGGAGAAGGUACGCUGCCGAUGGUGAUGGAACUUGCUUCCUGAGCUGUUGGCAGUCGCAGAUACCAGGCUGCUGCAACUGUUUAUUAAAAACACAGCACUCUGCAAACACGAAAGUGGACGUAUAGGGUGUGAUGCCUGCCCGGUGCUGGAAGGUUAAUUGAUGGGGUUAGCGUAUGCGAAGCUCUUGAUCGAAGCCCCAGUAAACGGCGGCCGUAACUAUAACGGUCCUAAGGUAGCGAAAUUCCUUGUCGGGUAAGUUCCGACCUGCACGAAUGGCAUAAUGAUGGCAGCGCUGUCUCCAGCAGAGACUCAGUGAAAUCGAAAUCGCAGUGAAGAUGCUGUGUACCCGCGGCUAGACGGAAAGACCCCGUGAACCUUUACUACAGCUUUACAUUGAACUUUGACCUAACUUGUGUAGGAUAGGUGGGAGGCUUUGAAGUGGCGACGCCAGUUGCCAUGGAGCCAUCCUUGAAAUACCACCCUGGUUAUGUUGGGGUUCUAACUUGAGAUUAACAGAUCUAAGGACAAUGUAUGGUGGGUAGUUUGACUGGGGCGGUCUCCUCCUAAAGAGUAACGGAGGAGUACGAAGGUGCGCUCAGAACGGUCGGAAAUCGUUCAAAGAGUAUAAAGGCAAAAGCGCGCUUAACUGCGAGACCCACAAGUCGAGCAGGUACGAAAGUAGGUCUUAGUGAUCCGGUGGUUCUGUAUGGAAGGGCCAUCGCUCAACGGAUAAAAGGUACUCUGGGGAUAACAGGCUGAUACCGCCCAAGAGUUCAUAUCGACGGCGGUGUUUGGCACCUCGAUGUCGGCUCAUCUCAUCCUGGGGCUGAAGCAGGUCCCAAGGGUAUGGCUGUUCGCCAUUUAAAGAGGUACGCGAGCUGGGUUUAGAACGUCGUGAGACAGUUCGGUCCCUAUCUACCGUGGGCGUUGGAAAUUUGAGAGGAUCUGCUCCUAGUACGAGAGGACCAGAGUGGACGAACCUCUGGUGUUCCGGUUGUUUCGCCAGAAGCAUCGCCGGGUAGCUACGUUCGGAUGGGAUAACCGCUGAAAGCAUCUAAGCGGGAAGCCCACCUCAAGAUAAGAUUUCCCUAAAGAGCCGUUGUAGACUACGACGUUGAUAGGUUGGGUGUGGAAGCAUGGUGACAUGUGUAGCUAACCAAUACUAAUUGCUCGUUUGGCUUGACCAUACAACACCCAAG
rnacentral:rRNA from 1 species